rnacentral:rRNA from 1 species
GUCUACGGCCAUACCACCCUGAACGCGCCCGAUCUCGUCUGAUCUCGGAAGCUAAGCAGGGUCGGGCCUGGUUAGUACUUGGAUGGGAGAAAAAGAAGUCCAGGGGCGCCUGGAUG